rnacentral:lncRNA from 1 species
GGUGCCUGACGUCCAGGAAUUCUUUUACACAUCGGCCCCUCCCUAGUCUCUGCUUCCAAUGUGACUCGUCUUCUUUCUCUCCGGUCUGUUCCUUCAGUCUCCACCCCAAGCUCUGAGUCCUUUGAAUCCUUCUUUUCUACAGACUCAUCUGACCUCUCCCCUUUUCCCUAGAGCUGCUCCUUGCCAGGCUGAGCCAGGUCCCUCUGCUCCCCCACCCUGUAACCCUUCUAUUACCUCCCCUCCCCACACCAGGUCUGGUUUACAGUUUCGUUCUGUGACUAGCUCUCCCCCACCUGCCCAACAAUUUCCUCUUAGAAAGAUGGCUGGAGCUGAAGGCAUAGCUAAGGACCCCACUGGAAAUUGGAUUGUCCAACUGGCCCAAGGCUCUGACUGA